AUACAGAGGGUGCAAGCGUUAAUCGGAAUUACUGGGCGUAAAGCGCUCGUAGGCGGUUUGUUAAGUCGGAUGUGAAAGCCCCGGGCUCAACCUGGGAACUGCAUUCGAUACUGGCAAACUAGAGUAUAGUAGAGGCAAGUGGAAUUCCGGGUGUAGCGGUGGAAUGCGUAGAUAUCCGGAGGAACAUCAGUGGCGAAGGCGACUUGCUGGACUAAUACUGACGCUGAGGAGCGAAAGCGUGGGGAGCAAACGGGAUUAGAAACCCCAGUAGUCC
rnacentral:rRNA from 1 species